rnacentral:lncRNA from 1 species
AUCAAAAUCACUACAAAAAAUGCAAAACAAGCAUAAUAUCGCUAAAAACAACUUUUGACUCUCGACUGACUCAUUUAUUGAGUUUUACUUGAUUCUAAGCUCGUUCUAAGUCUUCAAGGGUGUAAUUUGGUCUAAAUUGACAUAUGAAAAUAAUUGAUUUUCAACCGUUAUCAAGUCACAUGUCUAAAUAUUUCUCUCAUCUGCCCAUUGUGACUAUCUCUUCUUUUCUCAACUUCUUCCAAUCCCUCUUCUUCUUUCUCUUCUUCACCAAGCUCAUCAUUCUCAC